rnacentral:misc_RNA from 1 species
AUGGCGUCCUCUACCCUUCUUCCUCCCUGGCGCUCGCUCCCUGCAGGAGAACAGUCCGGCUCCUCAUCCCCUCCCCCUUCUUCUUCCUUUGCCUUUCUUCUUCCCUGCUUCACGGCAGCAAGGCCACUAGCAGGCUCCCUGCUCCACGCGCCGCCCAGCCAUGGCGUCGUGCUUCCUCCCAUGGCGCAGGAGAUGCCCCAGCGAGCUCCCUUCCCUUCCCCAUGGCUCGAGCUCGAGUUUCCUCAUGGCGCUGCCUCCCUGUCCAUGGCGACGCAGCAGCUCCCUCCCAUGGCGCCCCCUGCUCUUCCUCCUUGGCGCCCAGAAUUUGCAGCAGCAUCUCCCUCCCCCAAACUUCUCUUGCCAUGGCCGAUUCUUCCCUGCGCCCUACUCUCCCAUGGAAAUCCAGCAGGAGCUCCAUUUCCUCCAUGGUCGGCGCCCCGCGCAGCGCCUCUGCGCGACUCUCCCUCCCCAAACAGCGAGCCCGCUUCCUCGCUGCUCGUCGUGGUGCCCGCCGGCUGUUCGGCAAAAUGCGCAGCAAGCCGCACGCUGCAGCAACCCUCCAGUUCAUUCUCCACUUCCCCGUCGCGAGUCAUCGCUCUCGUGUUUGCUGCGCAGCGAACAGCAUGUCGGGAUUCCCGCCGGGUGUUUGCUGUUUUGCGCAGCUCCGUUGUCGUCGUCGUUCACCCCGGAGAUAACCCCGUGUUUUGCGUGGAGAAGGCAAGCCGCUCGACGCUCGUCGAUGUCGUAGCGAUGCACAAAUCGGAAUCACCGUCGUCCUUGCAAACGCCGAUUGGGUUUGUUUAUGGACAGAGAGAUGACGAUCGUGCAAGUGAUGUGGUGCCAACCACAAGAUGCAGUUGGUGGACGACCUGAAGAAUGAUGGACUUGACCAGUGGAUGCUCGCCAAGCGAGUGCCACCCCAGCAAACACAAUCUAAGUGUUAAAUUAAAGGUACUUCUUAGGUUGAUUUGUUGAUGGUGUGACUUGGCCUUCAUCCCUGCCACCGGGAUAGACGGUCGAGCGAGUUACUGCUUCCGCAGGAGAGGACCAAGAGGAGUAGCGUGGCCAGGCUUCGCCAUGUUACUCGGUUUUCUCCGUUAGUUAUUUCCGCUGCAUUAAAAUUUAUGGUUAUUAUUUCUAAAACUCC